GUACACGCUGUGACUAGCAUAUCAAUAAGCGGAGGAAAAGAAACUAACAAGGAUUCCCCUAGUAACGGCGAGUGAAGCGGGAAGAGCUCAAAUUUGAAAUCUUAAAGGGUUUCCCUUUACGAAUUGUAGCUUAAAGAAGUGUUUUCUGUUGAGGCUUUGGUAAAAGUUCUUUGGAAUAGGACAUCAUAGAGGGUGAGAAUCCCGUAUUUGACCUUUACUUUCAACUUUGUGAUACACUUUCAAAGAGUCAGAUUGUUUGGGAAUGCAGUCCAAAAUGGGUGGUAAAUUUCAUCUAAAGCUAAAUAUUGGCGAGAGACCGAUAGCGAACAAGUACCGUGAGGGAAAGAUGAAAAGAACUUUGAAAAGAGAGUUAAACAGUACGUGAAAUUGUCAAAAGGGAAGCGUUUGACACCAGUGUUGUUUUUCUGAAAAUCAAUUAAAGAACUGUUUAUGCUAAGCUGUUUAGACUUUAUCAGCUAAUCUGUUUAGUUUUGAGCUUUUCUUUAAUGCACUUUUCAGUUAACAAGUCAACAUCAAUUUCUUUUGCUGUAAAAAAGCUUGAGGAAGGUGGCUUGAGAUUCGUCUUAAGUGUUUAUAGCCUCUUGCCUAUGCAGUCGGAGAGAUUGAGGUCUGCAGCGUAGAUCCUUCGGGGCUAAAUGCAUUUGUGCUAAGUUAUAGCAUUUUAUAGACAACUUGUUGACUAUGAUUAGUCUUGUAGCUUACUCGCUUAUGCUAUUUUACCUACGCUUAGGAUGUUGACGCAUGAGAUAUACGC
rnacentral:rRNA from 1 species